UGCGAAGCUGCUUCUGCCCGGGAAGGAGGCGAGGGGCGUGGAACCGCCGAGGGAACCACCAGUUUCGACGCCCUGGGGUGGGCCCGGAGGACCGAGUCGCUGGGGGCAGGGCUGGGAGGUGACCCCAGAGGGCGCCGAAUCGGGCGGGGCCUCGUGUGCUUCCCACCCGUGGAGGGGGCGAGCCCAGGGAGGGCGGUAUAGCAUGGUGAGAGCGACCACUAUUUCCCUGUGAAGGCGAGAGCUCAGACAAGCCACAGGCGGCCAGGGCCGAGAAACCGGAAGACGGCCGAGGAGACCAUAGCACCCUCCCAGGAAAGAGAGCCCGAGGGCUUGGGCCAGGAUGGGGGCAGUGCGGGGGCUGAGAAGUGGCCAGAUUCUGGGUGUACUUUAAAAGCCGAGCUGAUGGCCUUUGCGGACAGUUGGGAUGAGGGGUGAGAGAAAGGAGUGGAGGGUGACUCCAAGGGUUUGGCCAGAGCUAGUGCCGUAUUCAGAGUUGGCCGAGGACUAGGUUUGUCGGUUCGGGGUUGGAGGGUUGAGGGGAUGGACUGCGGGAGGGAGCGGGAUGUCCUGUUUGGAGAUCAGUUUUGGAGAGGACGAGCGAGAGGCGGCAAGCCAGACGGCCAAGCGGAGGUGUCAGCCAGGCCGCUGGAUGUGCCAUUCUGGACUCCGAGCUGGGACUCUUUGGGGACCAUGAGUAUGGAAGAGCUCCCCGGAAGGAGGAAGAGUGUGUAGCCAGCAGGCAGCAGAGGGCCAAGGAAUGAGCCUUGGGGCGCUCCAAAGUCCAGGAAGAACAGGCAGAAGGAAAACCAGGAGAGCAAGGUGUUCUGGAAACCAAGCCCAAAAGGUUUGUCCGGAACCAGGGAACGCUCAACUUCGUGGGAAGCAGUCCAUGAGUAAAGGAAGUUGGGGCUUGAGAAGCGGCCUUUGGAUUUAGGAACCUUGACAAAAGCAGGGAGCAAGAGACUUACUGGAGCGGGUUCAAAAGAGAACAAGAAACAGCCUUCUUGUUUAUCAAUUUGCUCACUUGUCUGUCUCUCCCACUAGUAAGCAGGAAACAACACUGUUCUGUCCGUGCUAAAUUGCUAAAUGACCUAGCUUAGUAACAAGCUCUUGGUAGACACAUACUUACUCUUUAAAAAAAAAAAAA
rnacentral:lncRNA from 1 species